AGGGUUUGAUUAUGGCUCAGGAUGAACGCUAGCUACAGGCUUAACACAUGCAAGUCGAGGGGCAGCAUGAUUGAAGCUUGCUUCAAUUGAUGGCGACCGGCGCACGGGUGAGUAACGCGUAUCCAACCUUCCGUACACUCAGGGAUAGCCUUUCGAAAGAAAGAUUAAUACCUGAUGGUAUCUUAAGCACACAUGUAAUUAAGAUUAAAGAUUUAUCGGUGUACGAUGGGGAUGCGUUCCAUUAGGUAGUAGGCGGGGUAACGGCCCACCUAGCCGACGAUGGAUAGGGGUUCUGAGAGGAAGGUCCCCCACAUUGGAACUGAGACACGGUCCAA
rnacentral:rRNA from 1 species